rnacentral:misc_RNA from 1 species
GAUGAAGAACGCAGCAAAAUGCGAUAAGUAGUGUGAAUUGCAGAAUUCAGUGAAUCAUCGAAUCUUUGAACGCACAUUGCGCCCCUUGGUAUUCCAUGGGGCAUGCCUGUUCGAGCGUCAUUUGUACCCUCAAGCUUUGCUUGGUGUUGGGCGUCUUGUCGUAUUACGACUCGCCUUAAAUACAUUGGCAGCCGGCACUUUGGCCUAGGAGCGCAGCACAUUUUGCGAUCGUAGCCCGUUGUACUGGCGUCCAUCAAGAACAUUUACCACGUUUGACCUCGGAUCAGGUAGGGAUACCCGCUGAACUUAAGCAUAUCAAUAAGCGGAGGA